UAACUGUUCGCCAGGGUAGAGUCUUUUCUUUUUUCUUUUUUAUUACUUUUGCUUUUGUUCUCCAUAGUACGGUUCAGGGAGAUACUAGGGGCAGGUCGGUAGGGAGAUCCGAAGGUAGUAGUUUCGUCAACGUCAACGGUCCGGUGUCCCUCUACCUCCACCGCCACCACCCGCGGCACCACCCGCGGCACCACUGGUUGGAGCACAGGUUCGAGAGCCGCCACUAUCUGUUCUCUAAGUCGCUCAAGCCACUGGAACUUCUGCUGUAGUCCAUAGACUUUUGGCUCGAGCGGUAAUAACGACGAUUUUAGCUGCUGGUCGUGUUCCCCGUCGUCGGAUCACAGAACGUCUUGUAUAGGUGGCGUCUGUACGCGCUAAACCGUAAGCUGUAGCUCCUAACGGAGCUGGUCAAGGAAGGGACACGGCGCACGUUCGCUCCCCGGCACAGUUUUCCGCUGAAUCACCUGAAACGGUAAGUCCAACCCUUUGAGUUCUUCGCCGACCUCUCCCGGUUCGUCGUCUCUUGGCUAUUACCACGGUUGCCGUCGGUCGUUCGGUAGCUGGAACGACUGGUUAACGAACGAUAAGAUCGACUCGGACGUCUAGUCCACCCGUAGCUCCUUGGGUUCGUCCUCUAGGACCCAAACGAGCCAUCACUCUUCGAGGACCACUAUAGGUAGCAGCCCAAACCGCCGAGCCCGUUCUGGGUUGAGCGUUCCCGCCACAAGCUGACGCUACUUCGGUUUCUCUUCAAGCCACGGGCACGGACCGUAUGCCGUAGCCUCGUGUUUCUACCCGAACUCGAGAACGAGCGCUAUGACGUCUUUGAAAAAGGUUUUCUUUGAGAUGAUAGGCACAGUGUUUACGUUUCAGUUCAGAGCUCCAACGUUGUUGCAUAGUCUAAACUUUUCUGGUCCACAAAUUAACAUCAACUACUAUAGCUCUUCGUAGUAACCCUUCGUUAUUUCUCAAAGAAAAGACUCUGUUCCUAUUAGUCUUAUGAUCACUGGUGUUGACACGUCUGUCAUCGGUUUCGUACGUGGUUUCUAGUGCCAAUAUAAAUGUUAUACUCUUGAGAAUCACAUCCUCUGAGAUUCCUAAAUGAUUUCUUCACCCAACCACUAAAGUUAUCUUUAAGUUGACUGAACCUCCUACCAAGUCGACGUUAACAAGCGUUUACGGUACCGGUAGGUGAUCGAGAGUAGUCACACCGGUUGAUAAACAAUGUUGUUCUCGUCUAAUGUCCUCGUCAGACGGUUUUAUGGUCGUCCGAGGAUACAUGAGUAUACCUGCUCUUGUUCGUACCUCUGAAGUGUUUUGAAGCUGUCUAAGACCACUUAUUAAUAUAGUUAAACGGAAAGGUAGAGUUCUGUACAAACGACAUGUGUUCAAAUAAGGGUUUACUAGCAGGACAGUCGUGCUUUUGAGAAUGGUCGGCUACCAAUCGGCUUCCUAUGUAUUUCGCACUCUGACUUGCGUGAAUGGUCCUCAGACGGCUACUUUUCAACCUCGUUGACUACCUGUCCUUAUAGUAAGCCGGCCAGCUAUGUUCGUUGGCACCUCUUUUCUUCUGUACGUUUGGAGUGCCAUAGUACGUGGUCAAGUACGACAUAUUCAGGUAGAGAAGCUUAAAACAACGGGGUAGGGAACUCUUGGCUCCGUUAAAAGCAGUGUAGUACUACCUAUUGGUUUCUUUAUCUUCUCUUUGGUUGUACCUAGUACCACGGCGGCCAGGUCGACGUGUAGCGGGGUUGGUUGGUUUUUUGAAGAAAUCCAAGAACUUUGGUAGAUUCUCAUGUCAUAGGUCACUCCUGGACGCAGGGGCCAGAGAUUGUCAGAAACCUUCACGUCUUCUUCGACAAAUAAGCCUAAACUAGUUGACAUUCGACGACUUUCACAACCUAGAUUUUCUCACGUUAUUAAACGCCCUGUUUGUAUAGUUCUUGUAUAUGUUCGACAACGUAGAGUUUAUAGACUGGGAGCCCUCGAGACAAUCCUCUGAAAGUCUACUUUAUCCUUUAGAUGUAACAAACCUCUGUGAGCUGAACUCCUUCUGGUUCUAUCUUUGUGAUGGACACCUUCAGUAGUCAGACGGGGUGGAUCGUGUGGACAAGCCUUUCUAAUUCGAAUUGUUCAACUCAUCUUUCUUCGAACUGUUCAAUGACAGUCCUCUUACGUUGAACCUCUGAGAUAGUCCUCAACAACACCUUUCCUUGAGGGGUAAGGGACUUAACUACCUUGCAUACUUUUUUGACUGUUUCCACUUCUAUACCACGCACUAAUGGUCGUGUCUACCCUUAAUGUGGUUUGAGAGUCUACGGUAAGCGUUCAAACGAGUCCGACCGUACCUAUGAAGUGUUCUGCGGGCAAGAGAUAGUGAAGUAGAAUUACCAAGAAGGUUUCUAGAUCAAGUCGAGUCGUGCUGUAGUUCUGUCCGACCCAGUCGAGGGGACCAAAAAAUAGAAUCGAGUGACUUUGACGUGCCGUCCGACUCAGUGAAGUUUCUCAAACGAUUCCGGGACAGACCAGAGUCCCUUAACACGGAAUGUACAUGAUUAGACCUCCCCGGACAAGAAGAUCGUACAGAUGCACUCGAUACCACGGACCAAAUAGAGUUUGACCAACUUCUGGCAGAACUACUAAAUCUGUAUUUGGAACUACCACUAGAGCGUUCGGACGUUGCGGAUACGUAACACCACUUUGUUAGGUUUAAGGGGUGUUAACGUGUUCCUCGAAACGGUCCAGAGCAAAGUGAAGUGUACGAGACGUUUCUAGAUCACCCAGAAACACUACUGUAGUUUCACCUUACAAAGUCUCUAGAAGCACUUCAGCGAGACCUGAGACUCCAGUUAGUUCCUUGGUAACUUGAGACCCUUUUAUUUCGAUUCCUCGUGGGAUUCUCCGGUUUCCAAGACAACGAGUUUUCCCAACUCCGUCGGCUGUGGACCAGACGCCGCUUUAUACAACGGUGACUAGUCUCUGGGAGGUACGAAGACCACGUCCCCUGCGGCACUAGGGAAGAAGACAUACGGUUCUACGACUUCACUUCUAACGAUACACCACGAUGAAGAUUCAACUACCAAACUUCUAUUUUAUUUUCCUCCUACUGACUUCGUUUGUUCGCGCGCAGACGGUCUCGUGGAGCACCAGAGGCACCUUGCUCGGACCACCCUUAUUUGUGUUCGUGGACGUCCCGCGCCCGUCUCGUCUGCUCUCGACUGGAGGAACACUCACCGCGAACGAAGGUCGGCUGCCUCCUCUCCCGCCGCCUCGUUAGUACGGCCGACCCCUCGUCUCGUCGAACUUAUGCUCCGCAGAAGCAGGAACGGGCGGCAGUCAGAGGAGCCGCGGCGGCGGGGGGGCACCAGCCCUCGUCUCUUCUCGUCUCCUCCUUCCUUAUCACACACGCUAUCACCCGGUAAAGCCACUACAAUGACAAGUUCCCGGUCCCAUGUACCCGGACCGGCCGACCAGGGUAAAAGGGGAACAAUUUUUGUUAAUUUCCUGAGUUAAGUUUUAAGCUUCAAAUUUUUUUAGUUAUAAGAG
rnacentral:rRNA from 1 species